rnacentral:rRNA from 1 species
GAUGAACGCUGGCGGCGUGCCUAAUACAUGCAAGUCGAGCGAACGGACGAGAAGCUUGCUUCUCUGAUGUUAGCGGCGGACGGGUGAGUAACACGUGGAUAACCUACCUAUAAGACUGGGAUAACUUCGGGAAACCGUAGCUAAUACCGGAUAAUAUUUUGAACCGCAUGGUUCAAAAGUGAAAGACGGUCUUGCUGUCACUUAUAGAUGGAUCCGCGCUGCAUUAGCUAGUUGGUAAGGUAACGGCUUACCAAGGCUACGAUGCAUAGCCGACCUGAGAGGGGGAUCGGCCACACUGGAGCUGAGACACGGUCCAGGCUCCUACGGGAGGCCGCAGUAGGGAAUCUUCCGCAAUGGGCGAAAGCCUGACAGAGCAACGCCGCGUGAGUGAUGAAGGUCUUCGGAUCGUAAAACUCUGUUAUUAGGGAAAAACAUAUGUGUAAGUAACUGUGCACAUCUUGACGGUACCUAAUCAGAAAGCCACGGCUAACUACGUG